GCCUUAAGCUUCGUAGGUGAGCCUGCGGAAGGAUCAUUC
rnacentral:rRNA from 1 species